ACAGCCACAUCAUGUUGAAACACUAGUUCCCAUAUGAUUACUGAUGUUAAGCAAUGUUGAGCCUGGUUAGAACCUAGAUGGGUAACCACUUUGAAAUACCGAGUGCUGUAAG